AGACCGGUUUUUGAUACUCCACAGUCCAAUGUUGCGGGGGAGGAAGGCAAAAAGACCCCGUGGUCUACCUGUUUUAGAUGAGGAGAAUGAGGUCGCCGAGCAGUCUGUGGAUCGUGAAAGUAACCCAGAUGCCUCAUACCCAGACACUGCAACUCCUGCUAGCUGUUCUCUGGACAGACCAAGUGAAAGUGAAAAAGGACUCUAGGCAGCUGUUGAGGAAUCACCGGUGGACAACCUGUUGAAACGGAUAGAAGCAUUAGAGCAAGAACGUGACUUUCUUAGCCACACUCUUGCAUCCGUCUGUGGUGAGUAAUGCUUAGCUAUGUAAGA